rnacentral:rRNA from 1 species
UACGGAGGGGGGCUAGCGUUGUUCGGAAUUACUGGGCGUAAAGCGCACGUAGGCGGCUUUGUAAGUUAGAGGUGAAAGCCCGGGGCUCAACUCCGGAAUUGCCUUUAAGACUGCAUCGCUAGAAUUGUGGAGAGGUAAGUGGAAUUCCGAGUGUAGAGGUGAAAUUCGUAGAUAUUCGGAAGAACACCAGUGGCAGAAGGCGACUUACUGGACACAUAUUGACGCUGAGGUGCGAAAGCGUGGGGAGCAAACAGG